GACGAAGGGGGCUAGCGUUGUCCGGAUUUACUGGGCGUAAAGCGCGCGCAGGCGGUUCGUUAAGUCCGGUGUGAAAGCUCCCGGCUCAACUGGGAGAGGUCAUUGGAUACUGGCGGACUUGAGGGAUGCAGAGGAAGGUGGAAUUCCUGGUGUAGCGGUGAAAUGCGCAGAUAUCAGGAAGAACACCCGUGGCGAAGGCGGCUCUCUGGACCGCAACUGACGCUGAGACGCGAAAGCGUGGGGAGCAAACAGG
rnacentral:rRNA from 1 species